ACGAGUGGCGGACGGGUGAGUAAUGUCUGGGAAACUGCCUGAUGGAGGGGGAUAACUACUGGAAACGGUAGCUAAUACCGCAUAACGUCGCAAGACCAAAGAGGGGGACCUUCGGGCCUCUUGCCAUUAGAUGUGCCCAGAUGGGAUUAGCUAGUAGGUGGGGUAACGGCUCACCUAGGCGACGAUCCCUAGCUGGUCUGAGAGGAUGACCAGCCACACUGGAACUGAGACACGGUCCAGACUCCUACGGGAGGC
rnacentral:rRNA from 1 species